rnacentral:rRNA from 1 species
UACGUAGGGGGCUAGCGUUGUCCGGAUUUAUUGGGCGUAAAGAGCGUGUAGGCGGCCAGGUAGGUCUGCUGUGAAAACUCGAGGCUCAACCUCGAGACGUCGGCGGAAACCAUCUGGCUAGAGUACGAAAGAGGAUCGCGGAAUUCCCGGUGUAGAGGUGAAAUUCGUAGAUAUCGGGAGGAACACCGGUGGCGAAGGCGACUCUCUGGUCUGUAACUGACGCUGAGGAGCGAAAGCGUGGGGAGCAAACAGG